rnacentral:lncRNA from 10 species
GGCCUCGAGGCUCCUGGCAGCCUGCCCGUUUGGCAGCCUCUGCCAGAACAGUCCGUGGAGUACAGACUGCUCCCUGUCUUCUCCCAGUCUGGUCCCUGGAGAGACUCCAAUCUCCCUGCUCGAGUCCUUCCCUUUUCUGCUUAUCAUGGGGAAGGAAUAUGCGUCUAGGCGUUAAAUCGCUCGAGUGCCAGCUGGCACAGCACAGCCACAGGGCCCCAGCAGGAGCGGGCCUCAGUUCUCAGAGAGCUGCACAAAGACCAAAGCAAAUUUAUUACUGUUUUUCAGUUUACAAAUGGGAAAUCCACAACAUUGGUCAAGAAGAAAAGGCACCAUGAAUGGGAAGACCGAAGUGCAGACAACCAGCUGGAACAAGGGUGAAAAUAUAGGAGAUUACGAUCCAUUCCUGGGUGGACGGCCAGCGUUCCAUCUUCACUAACACGAUAUAGUUGAAGAGCAUCAGGUAUCCGAUAUACGCCAGCUGUAAGGAGACACAAUACAGUGCUCUGGCUGUUCAGGCCCAGGAGCCCCAGCAUCAGCCAAGGCCACUGCACAGCAGCACAGAGCAGGGUCAGCAAGCAGGACACAGACUUUAUGACAAAAGGAACUUGAAGGUGCUAAACUAACAAAAGAAUUAGAAAAGACAGUAAUACUUGAAGGAUUAUAAUAUGCAAUCUUCCUUUUGACCUGUACAUGUAUCUCUGGGGCUCUGGUGCUUCGUUUAAAUCUAUGUGUCAUGAUGCAUCAUUUCGCCUUGCAGUUACCCAUUUUUGUGUGUUUUCUUGGCUAAAAAGGGAGCCUUGGCUGUCAGUGGCGGCUCUUGCUCAGGCGUGGACCUUAGGUUCUUAAACUAGGGCAGCACAGUGGAUUUUUGCCUCACGAAUGCCAGGCAGAAUAAGUGUCUGUGAGAAGCAAAGGAAGAGGAAGACACAUGUAACACCUGUAAAUUGGUCAAACCAACAUAAAAAUAGCCCAGGCUUAAAGUGCUUCGCUUGUCAGUGCCCUGGGAGGGUCUUACCUGUUUUCAUUUCACCACUUUCCUGUCCUAAUCAAGUUAAGAUAAGAUAUUCCUUCCUGGUGUCUGCUUCAUUGAAACAACACAAGAAAAGACAACACAGUUUACAGAAAGGAAAGGGUCCGUGUGGCCUUUUGUGGACGGGUGUGGGGUUUAAUCCCCAAGAGGCUCUGGCUCGUGGGGUUGAAUCCUGAUGUGACUGGCUGAAUUGCUGGAUGUCUGGGAAGAACUCCCUAGGGUUUGGUGACUGCUCCUGGAAGAUUCAGUUGUGUCAAGGGUCUCACUCUCGUCACCCAGGCUGGAGUGCAGUGGCAUUGUGAUCUCGGCUCAUUGUAGCAUUGACUUCCUGGGCUCAGGUAAUUCUCCUACUUCAGCCUCCUGGGUAGCUGGGAUAACAGGCACGUGCCACCACACCCAGCUAAGUUUUUGUAUUUUUAGUGGAGACAGCAUCUCACUUUGUUGGCCAGGCUGAUCUCAAACUCCUGGGCUCAAGAGAUCCUCCUAUCUAUCUUGGCCUCCCAAAAUGCUGGGAUUAUAGGCAUGAGCCACCAUGCUCAGCUGAAUGGAUUCUUCUUUUUUUUUGGAGACUGAGUCUCACUCUAUUGCCCAGGCUGGAGUGCAGUGGUGCGAUCUCGGCUUUCUGCAAACCUCUUCCUGGGUUCAAGCGAUUCUCGUGCCUCAGCCUCCGGAGUAGCUGGGAUUACAGGCACCCAUUACCACGUCUGGCUAAUUUUUGUAUUUUUAGUAGAGACUGAGGUUUCAUCAUGUUGGCCAGGCUGGUCUUGAAUUCCUGACCUCAAGUGAUCUGCCCGCCUCGGCCUCCUAAAGUGCUGGGAUUACAGGUGUGAGCCACUGCGCCUCGCCUAAAUAGAGUCUUAAUAUGACUCCAAGGUAUCUCUGAGACCCCAUCACACUGACACAUUUGCAGACACAACUGUUGCACAAAAGUCCCUCAUCUCUUAAAGGGUGAAGUAUGUCGGAGUUAAAUAAGAUCACUUAUGAGAGCUGGAUAUCUGGGCUCACUCUCUACAUGCAUGGUUUGUGCUGGCACACCCCCACCCCCACCCCCAGGGGCCUAUCAUUUCAACCUAUGCCUAAGUUCCUACCCCUCCCCAUCUUCAGGAGCAUUGGCAAAUCAUGAAAACUUCUCAUGAAGGAGUUUACUUAAAAUUGUGUAGGACGCUGUUUAAAAAUCAGUUCAAAAUGGAACUUGGUUCAUAUGGUUUCCGUUUACCAUUAUUAUACACUGGCAUUAAUUCUGUAGUCCUGUGAGUACAGACUGCAAAAAACAAAAAAAGGACUUUAGUGGUUAAAACUCUAAAAUAUACUCUCAGCCUCCUUCUGACUUGAACUCUUUCCCUCUCCUUGUUGCUUCCUUCUCUUAGUUGGGUCAAAUUCCAUCACUUGUAGGUGAAAUGAAUAUUGUUAACUGCCCUGGUUUUAUCAUUUUGCCCAAAUGAUUGCAAAACAUUCCAAAGCAUUAUCUUCUCUUGUCAUAUGUAGGCCUAGUGACAUGCACAUUCUUCCAGAACCUCUGCAUUUUAAUACUUAAGUAACUCCUUAAACCUAUUUUAAUGCUUAAGUAACUCCUUGAACCUACAUCUGUCCUCUGAAUACAAGUCUAAUGUGUUCAGUGGAAGGAAGGUAGGCAUAGAUAUCAGUGAAGCUUGGAUUUAAAUCUCAGCUCACAUACUUCCUAGCUGUAUCACCUUUUGUAAUGUUAACCUGCCUGGGCCUCCAUUCUGUAACAUGGGAUCACUUCCACUUUCCUUAUAGGGCCUUUAUAAUGACUGGGGAUCUAUAUAUCUAUCUAUCUGUCUGUCUGUAUCUCCCAACACACUGUAGAGGCCCAAUAAAUGCUGGCUGAUAUUAUUCUGUUAUUCUUUUUGUCUCCUCUUCCCUUAGUCCUUACUUCCCUUUGAUCCCCAAUUAACUGUUCACACCUCUCUUCUUUUUUUUUAAAUUGCCCUCAUUAUUGGUUAUGUUUCCUCCACUUUCAUCAUUUUUAGCCCCUGCCUGUUUUUUACAUCACAGUUAUUCUAUAAUGAACUUUUCCCAUAGUCAAGCUAUAAUAUAAUAUUUUGGGACAACUCUCAAAAUACAGACUUCUGAAAAUAGGGUCUUAUGUUUAGAUGGCAUAACAGAGGACUGGCUGCUGUCCUGGAAGCAGCCUAUCAUAGAACUCACCAACAUUCAUGCAGCCUUGCUGUAGAUUAUCUUGACAUGACAUGCUUUAAUUGUGUGUGUGUGUGUGUGUGUGUAUAUAUAUAUAUAUAUGUAUACUCUGUAAGGUUUAGCAACCUGUAUGUAGAAUUUCCAAGCUUUUGAACCUGUGAGUCUUAUUUAAGUAAGUCAGUAGGAGAACUCUAAGAAUUUGUAUUUUAUUAACAUAUAUUCUUUCUAUGCAUUUUCCAUUAACUAAGAUUCAUGCUUCUUAAACUAACUAUCAAACACAAGCACUAAAGCCUGACACAGUUUGCUAUGGAUCCCUGGUGGGGCUUUGCUCUUCCUCACUUCUUCCUGGGCCUUUUUCUACUACCUCUGGAGAGCAGAGGGGCACAUGGUCUUGUAGAGGAUAGAGUUGGUCACUACUAGAGAAACUCAGAGCACACACUGUGUCCUCUGACCUGCAGCCACUUCACACCUUGAAUUUGAAUCCUCUCCAGAUGGAUACCUGAAAUAGGCUCUCAAAACAAGCAGGGUCUAGGAGCCAGUUGGACCCCUGCCUCCUUUCUUCUUGGACCAGAAGAGGACCCAAUCUGCUCCUAGAGAAACUUGCUACGAUGCAGAAGUGAGGUUAUAUGGAAAUGAAGUGUGUCCUACCUUUCAGAAACUUGGGAGAGUAGGAGAGACCAUUUUUGAAAAUCUGGUGAGAAAUACUCUUACAGAGAAAAACACAGCCCAAAGCACAUGGGACCUUCAAUCUGAAAUUGAAUUGUACUGUUAAGCAUGUCUGGUGAUUCAAAAGACUGGCAUACCUUAUUUCCAGUCACUUCCUCGAGGCCUGGGCUUUGUCAAUAUGUGAAGAUGAAUUUUGGAGAAUCAUGUAAACACAAUUGAACAGAUCUGGGGGAUCCAGUCUGAUGGGUUUGCUGAGGCCAAUCCAGUCAGCCACGCAGAAGUGUGCUGGACACACAGGCCCCACCACCCCCCGCCAAAGAGGCAGCCUCCCAACAAGCUGCCAAUGACAUAAGCAAAGCAGCGUGUCUCAAGUGUCUCCAAUCAUAAGAUUCGCCUGGGAAGCUGGUUAAACUAACACAGCCUCUUAGGCUCCUUCCUGAAGACUGGAUUCCAUGGGUCUAUGAUGGGGCUAGAAAUUUGCAUUUCUAACAAAACUCCCUUGUCAUCAUGGACGUUUUAGAGAUAUUGAUACUAUUAUUUCUACUGAUUUCUGCUCUCGGGAGUCUGUAAACUUUUUCUGCAAAUGGCCAACUGGUUAACUUUUAAGGCUUUGUAGAACCGAUAGUCUCUCUCUGUCUCUCACUACUCAUCAACUUGAUGUGGUAGCACAAAAGCAGUCAGUCAGCCUAUUGCUAAUGGUAAAUGAGAUUUAGCCUAAAGCUGCCUCCUUAAGUUCGGCCUGAAGUUUUCUCUGUACAUUGUGAACUAUAACAAAUGAAGGUGUAACAAGACCAAUCACCGAGUUUCGGUCAAUCAAAUGUAGCCAACUGCUCAAACUGUGUUCAAAUAAGGCAAACGCUGAGCUGUAACCAAUCCAGCUGUUUCUGUACCUCACUUCCGUUUUCUGUAUGCCACUUCCCUUUUUCUGUCCAUAAAUCUUCCACCACGUGGCCCUGCCAGAGUCUCUGAGCCUACUCUGGCUUGGAAGACUGCCCAAUUCACGAAUCGUUCAUUUGCUCAAUUAAACUCCUUUAAAUUUAUUCGGCUCAAGUUUUUCUUUUAACAGAAAUCAAGAGUCUGCCUGUGUUCCAAUUAUUUAUGGACACUAAAAUUUGAAUAUGUGUUUCAAGUAUUCCUUUUCAAAUUUUAUUAAAAAUGUAAAAACCAUUCUCAGUUCGCAGGCCACAAUCACAGGCCAUGGGUUGAAUUUGGCUCAAAAGCUGUAGUUUGCCAAGCCCUGUUCUAAGCUAACAGUUGGGGAAUCAUAAUAUAAAAGGAAGGACAGACCUGGGUGUGAAAUAGCUGCAAAAAUAUUAUCUCGGGCUGGGCGCAGUGGUUAUUGCCUGUAAUCCCAGCACUUUGGUAGGCUGAGGCAGGCCCAUAGCUUGAGGCCAGCAGUUCAAGACCAGCCUGGCCAACGUGGCAAAACCCCAUCUCUACUAAAAAUACAAAAAUUAAUUAGCCAGGUGUGGUGGUGAACACCUGUAAUCCCAGCUACUCGGGAGGCUGAGACAUGAGACUCACUUGAAUCCAGGAGAUGGAGGUUGCAGUGAGCCAAGAUUGUACCACUGCACUCCAGCCUAGGUGACAGAGUAAGAGUUUGUCUCCUAAAUAAAUAAAUAUUAUCUUGAUAAAAUAGUUGUUAGGAUUACAAAGAGUACUUAAAUAAUAGUACCUAGAACAUUGCCUCAAACUUAGUAGGUGCUCAAUAAAAGAAAGAUAUUAUUUUUGUUGAGUGGAUGUAUGAACACAACACUGAUUAUCUAUUGCUGGGCAACGUGAAUAGCCUAGAAGAAACAAUAGUCACAGUUACAUUGUACUUAUAUGUCAAGGAACUGUUCUAAGUGCUUUACAUGUUUUAACACAUUUAAUCUUGAUUAAAUCCUAUAAAAUCGGAACUACUAUUAUUGGCAUCUUAAGAAAACUGUGGACAGAAGGGGAAAUUAAGUUGUUUGAGGGCACAUGGUAAGAGGUGCAGAUGGGAUUCCCACCCAGGCUGUCUGAUUCCAAAGUCCAUGCUUGUCACCACUAAGCUGUUUUCUGCAAGGUUAAAAAUAAUAUAGAGC